rnacentral:rRNA from 1 species
UACGUAGGGUGCAGGCGUUAAUCGGAAUUACUGGGCGUAAAGCGUGCGCAGGCGGCUUUGCAAGACAGAUGUGAAAUCCCCGGGCUUAACCUGGGAACUGCAUUUGUGACUGCAUGGCUAGAGUGCGGCAGGAGGGGGAUGGAAUUCCGCGUGUAGCAGUGAAAUGCGUAGAUAUGCGGAGGAACACCGAUGGCGAAGGCAGCUCGCUGGAACGGUA